GACGAACGCUGGUGGCGUGCCUAACACAUGCAAGUCGAACGGAGAUUUUAUUGAUGAAAUCUUAGUGGCGAACGGGUGAGUAACGCGUAGACAACCUGCCUUUUAGAUGGGGACAACACCGCGAAAGUGGUGCUAAUACCGAAUGUUGUAUUUUGGUCGCAUGAUUGAGAUACUAAAGAUGGCCUCUAUUUAUAAGCUAUCACUAAAAGAUGGGUCUGCGUCUGAUUAGCUAGUUGGUGAGGUAAUGGCUCACCAAGGCGACGAUCAGUAGCCGGUCUGAGCGGAUGAACGGCCACACUGGGACUGAGACACGGCCCAGACGCCGACGGGAGGAAGCAGUGGGGAAUCUUCCGCAAUGGACGAAAGUCUGACGGAGCAACGCCGCGUGAGUGAAGAAGGUUUUCGGAUCGUAAAACUCUGUUUUCAGGGACGAAUGUGCGAUGUGUAAAUAAUGCAUUGUAAUGACGGUACCUGAGUAGAAAGCCACGGCUAACUACGUGCCAGCCGCCGCCGUAA
rnacentral:rRNA from 1 species